UACGAAAGGUGCGAGCGUUACUCGGAAUCACUGGGCGUAAAGCGCACGUAGGCGGACUUACAGGUCAAUUGUGAAAUACCUGGGCUCAACCCAGGAACUGCAGUUGAAACCGUUUGUCUUGAAUACUUGAGAGGGUGGGGGAAUACCUGGUGGAGAAGUGAAAUUCGUAGAGAUCAGGUGGAACACCGGAGGCGAAGGCGCCUGCCUGGCAAUGUAUUGACGCUGAGGUGCGAAAGUGCGGGGAGCAAACAGG
rnacentral:rRNA from 1 species